rnacentral:pre_miRNA from 1 species
CAACUACUCCCUCUGUCCCAAAUUUCUUGUCUUAGAUUUGUCUAGAUACGGAUGUAUCUAAUACUAAAAUGUGACUUGAUACAUCUGUAUCUAGACAAAUCUAAGACAAGCAUUUUGGGACGGAGGGAGUACUUU